CCUACGGGGGGCAGCAGUGGGGAAUAUUGCGCAAUGGGCGAAAGCCUGACGCAGCGACGCCGCGUGAGGGAUGAAGGUCUUCGGAUCGUAAACCUCUGUCAGCAGGGAAGUACGGUCACUGUGCUAAUCAGCAGUGAAUUGACGGUACCUGCAAAGGAAGCACCGGCUAACUCCGUGCCAGCAGCCGCGGUAAUACGGAGGGUGCGAGCGUUAAUCGGAAUUACUGGGCGUAAAGCGCUCGUAGGCGGUAUGUCAAGUCAAGGGUGAAAUCCCCGCGCUCAACGUGGGAACUGCCUUUGAAACUGGCAAACUGGAGUGUGUGAGAGGAUAGUGGAAUUCCAGGUGUAGGAGUGAAAUGCGUAGAUAUCUGGAGGAACAUCAGUGGCGAAGGCGACUAUCUGGCACAUAACUGACGCUGAGGAGCGAAAGCGUGGGUAGCAAACAGGAUUAGAUACCCGUGUAGUC
rnacentral:rRNA from 1 species